CCGAGUUCAUGCCCCCCUAGUGGGGUAGAUCUCCCACCCUUUGUGUAUUUUACUUUUUGUUGCUUUGGCAGGCCGCUGGGCUACAAGCCUGGCCACCGGCUCCUUGGAGCUGGUGCGCGCCUGCCAGAGGACCCCCAAACUCAUGUUUGUCAGUGUUGUCUGAGUACCAUUGCAAAUCGUUA
rnacentral:misc_RNA from 1 species